rnacentral:rRNA from 1 species
GAUCGAGUUGUAAUUUGAAGAAGCGUUUUUUGCGUAUUUGGUCAGCCUAAGUCCUAUUGAAUGAGGCAUCAUGGAGGGUGAUAAUCCCGUCCGGUUGAUCAUUUGCGUUUUACGAUACGCUUUCUAAGAGUCAAGUUGUUUGGGAUUGCAGCUUAAAAUGGGAGGUAAAUUUCUCCUAAGGCUAAAUAACGGCGAGAGACCGAUAGCGAACAAGUACC